UUAAGUUCAGCGGGUAAUCUUGUCUGAUUUGAGAUCGUAAUUGAUAAUGAAACAAUUAGAAUUGUUUAUAGAGCCCUGCAACGAAGCUUUAAUGUGAGAUCGGGACGACUGUCUCGCUAGCACACAUUGAGCAACAUUGGGAGGCUCAUCAACUCGAUAUAUUCAAACCAAAUAUGCAGCAAAGCAGCAUAUGAGGUCAG
rnacentral:misc_RNA from 1 species